CCCGGUUUCCGUGUCCAACGUUUGACCAUCCGUCUUAUUUAAAAAAAUUAUAAAAAAAAUUAAAAAGACAAGUCACGCAUAAAAUAUUAAUCAUGUUUUAUCAUCUAACAAUAAUGAAAAUACGAAUUAUAAAAAAAUUUCAUAUAAGACGGAUAGUCAAAGUUGAACACGUAAACCCAGGGUUUGACUUUUU
rfam:Oryza barthii chromosome 11, whole genome shotgun sequence.